rnacentral:rRNA from 1 species
CCGCCAAACCCUACCCAGCGACCCCCGCCAUUUCCCUCCGGCGACCUCCGCCGACGCUCGAGGUCGCAAAACCUACCCCUCCCCCUCUCCUUUGGCGCCCGCCGUAACUUCUCCACCUCCUCCCCGCCUCCGGAUGGCGUGAUCGACGCCGUCACGCGUCUCAUCUCCGACGCCGCGUCCUCGGUCGCGCCCGCAUUUUCGUCGGAGGAGGUGGCCGCCGCCGCGGCCGACUCGUUUCUCCCGGUCGCCGCCGUGCAGCACCUCAUCGACGCCGUACACUCCAUCACCGGGCUCAACUGGUGGGCUUCCAUUGCGCUGACGAUGCUGUUGGUCCGGACGGCGACCAUCCCGCUGCGGGUGCGCCAGAUCAAGGCCCAGAACAGGCUUUCUGCAUUGAAGCCAGAAAUCAUAGCAAUCAAUAAGGAAGGAGAUUCAAGGGACCCACAAUCGAGGCAUGAGAGGAGGAAGAAAUUGCGCGAGCUAUUAAAAAAGCAUGGUGUUAGUCGAUUGACACCCUUUAACCAUACAUUCCUCCAGGGGUCUAUAAUUUUAAGCUUUUGCUGUGCUAUACGGAACAUGAUAGAGAAUGUCCCUUCUUUGGAAGGAGGUGGAGCAUAUUGGUUUACUGAUUUGACAACUCCAGAUGAGCUUUACAUCCUGCCGGUGUUGACAUCAAUGACAGUUGCUGCGGACGAGCUCAAUGUGAAGGCGCGCAUCCAGGGACAACCUAUUCUUGUGCAGCAAGUGGGGAAGAACUUGUAUAGAGCACUGGCUUUUCUGAUUAUACCGCUAUCAAUGAGCAUCUGCAAGGCGCAUUUCUUUUGGUGGGUGCCAUGGAGUGCGUUUACUUUUGUGUAUGGAUUUGCUAUUCGGAGGCCAGCCGUGAGGCAUUACUUUGGUCUUCCUCAACUAGCAACACGGCCUGCACCUGCACCCGCGCAAGUGCCAGCGCCUACCUCUCCUAACCUUUCCGAGGGGACGGAGUCGAUGCCAGCGCCUACCUCUCCU